rnacentral:rRNA from 1 species
AUUGAACGCUGGCGGCAGGCCUAACACAUGCAAGUCGAGCGGUAACAGGAAGAUUCUUGCUGCUUUGCGGGGGAGUGGGGGGCGUGAUGGUUAUGUCUGUGAAAGUUCGUGGGGGAUGGGGAUAGCUAAUGGGAACGGAAACUAAUACCGCAUAGUGUCGGAAAACCAAGGAUGGUGAGCUUCGGGCCUCUUGGCUUAGGAUAGGCCCAGAUGGGAUUAGCUAGUAGGUGGGGUAAAGGCUCACCUAGGCGACGAUCCGUAGCUGGUCUGAGAGGAUGACCAGCCACACUGGAACUGAGACACGGUCCAGACUCCUACGGGAGGCAGCAGUGGGGAAUAUUGCACAAUGGGCGAAAGCCUGAUGCAGCCAUGCCGCGUGUAUGAAGAAGGUCUUCGGGUUGUAAAGCACUUUAAGUGGGGAGGAAGGGAGUAAAGUUAAUACCUUGCCGUAUUGACGUUACCCGCAGAAGAAGCACCGGCUAACUCCGUG